GUUUUAAUUUCCUAACUUCCUGUUCUGUUCUGAGCGUUGUUAUUGGUGGAUUAUUUUUGUUAGCCAAUUGCAGCGCCCAGAACAGAACAGGAAGUUAGGAACUUGUAACAGGAAGUUAAGAACUUCUAACAGGAACUGAGGAAAAUUUUUUUGCCUUUGCAACAUUGCAAAUUCCCUCAAGGGAUUUGCAAGGGAGUUUUUUAAAUUGCAAAAGUAAUGAGGAAAAUU